rnacentral:tRNA from 1 species
GGGAUAUAGCUCAGCUGGGAGAGCGCCUGCCUUGCACGCAGGAGGUCAGCGGUUCGAUCCCGCUUAUCUCCACCA